rnacentral:rRNA from 1 species
GACAGAGGUGCCGAGCGUUAGGCGGAAUCACUGGGCUUAAAGCGUGUGUAGGCGGGUCGUUAAGUGACCUUGUGGAAAUCCCCACAGCAUCACCUGGUGGAAACUGCUUGGGCAUACUGGCGAAUCUUGAGCCACUUAGGGGCAACCCGGGAACAAACGGUGGGAGCGGAUGAAAUGACGUAGAAUGAUCGUUUGGAACGCCAAUGGUUGAAAACAGGUUGCUGGGAGGUGCUG